UACGUAGGGGCCAAGCGUUGUCCGGAUUUAUUGGGCGUAAAGCGAGUGUAGGUGGCUUGAUAAGUUGGAUGUUAAAUCUCUCGGCUCAACCGAGAACCUGCAUCCAAAACUGUCUUGCUAGAGAAUUGUAGAGGAAAGCGGAACUUACGGUGUAGCGGUGAAAUGCGUAGAUAUCGUAAGGAACACCAGUGGCGAAGGCGGCUUUCUGGGCAAUUUCUGACACUGUGACUCGAAAGCCAGGGGAGCAAACGGG
rnacentral:rRNA from 1 species